AGAGAGCACCAGUCAGGCAUGCAGGCAGGCAUGCACAGCCACCCAGGAAAAUGAAGGUCCAUGGGGCUGUGGAAAGUAGAGGAGGGAGAAUCUGAUUGCUGGGAGUCGUUAGAGCCAUUUCCUCCACUCUCUUCAUGUUAUUUACCCGAGGAGCCUGAGACACAGGUGAUGAGUAAUGGACCCAACACUGUGGCCAGUCUCUCUCCAAAGUCAAGUCCGCAUCUCUCGCAUGGAUUUUUACAGUCAACUCGGCCUCAGAAGGAAAACCCGCUAGGAAGAAUUUCCCACAGUUCCUCAUUGCAGUUCCUAAGGUUAGAUCAAAAAGAAAAGGCCACUGGCCAGCAGUUGAGAUUCCUAAGAACCCAACUUACAAAAGCAGGGCUCCCUGGCCUGGUGGACCCAGGCUGGAGUUUUCCAUUGUCAGAUUGCUGUUCUGGUUGCUGGUUGGUGGUUUUCACAGCAGAUCAAUGGCAUGGGUGUAGUGUGCCAUCUCUUCCAGAGAGUAAGAAAACAGGUGUCCAGAGGGCACCAAGACAACACGAAGAACCCGUGUUGCUCCCGUUGGACGAUAGCUUUCUCCAGUAUGAAGUUCUGCAAAAUGACACACGCCAUCCCUGCAAAUACUGGAUGUAGAAAUGCC
rnacentral:lncRNA from 1 species